GUAAGGAGACACCCAAGGUUUUAAGAAGAAUGAACCAAGUGUUAUCACCUCCAAACUGCAUGAUUGACCAUCCUGGUCUUCAGCCUGUAUGCUUGGAUGUUUAUUCAUUACAAAAUGCAUACAAUAUUUACCGGGCUGAUUACGGGCGUUUGCGACUAAGUACACAACGGUGUUACAGGUAUCUGGCAUACAGGAGCUUUGUCAGCUGGUGCUGGGGCUUUUUGGGCCGGAGAGUUAGGGUUGUCAUUCCCUCAUGUGUUGUCCUGCGAAUUCGGCGUGAGUUCCCUGAAACUACAGGCAGCUACGUAGGGUUUAGACCACCUCUCGACUGAAGCGUGACAUGUAGCCAGCGAUGACUUCAUCCUUGGGAGGUCUUUCAUACUGAGA